UAAGAUUAUCUUUUCGUCCUUCCCUGGCUUCAAAACCCUUUGAGUCUACUGUCAAGACUCUCAAUAACCAGAGCGGCGAAACCAUCCUACCAAAACAUUCACACGGCGACGGUGCCCCUCACUCGACGGCGCUUUCCUUGACUGGCGGGCGCUUCCCUUCUCACGACAAAUUUUUCAAUUUGAAUUUCAAUGUAUCCUCUCAGUGAUAUUGUGACUCAAGCUUUGGUCGGUGCUGGCCUUGAAUCCUCUAACCUCAACCAUUGUAAAAUAUCAUUCAACAUUAGAAAUUUGCAUCAUACUUGCCAUGGAAAAAAUCCCUACGAACAAGCAAUAUCCCCAUGUUAAGGAUUUGGAGAUGAAUCAACGCAUGAUCAAGAUGUCUUUAGUUUCUACCUAGAUGAAAGAGUUUGUAGCAGAUUUUAGGAAGUCUCGUCCCGCUAUAAGGAAAUUGUUCUCUACUUAUGACAUGCAGGUUUGUUAUUUUAUUGAUGUUGUUCCUUUUUGUUAGUUCUCUACAUAUAUUGGUUGCUUGUCCUUUUGACUAUGAUUCAUAGACACUCCCUCUGUCCCUUAUUGUUUGUCCCAUUUUCCAUUUUAGUCUGGUGCCUAAGGUAUUGUCCCAUUAUUAUAAAUGCUCAUAGGGACGGAGGGGGUAGGGUGGAAUUGGUAUUUUUGUAGGUUAGAAAUAUUCUUUCUGUUACUCUUAUGAUGUUGGCAGCAUAAAACAAUAGUACACUUUAGUCAUUGGGACUUUCCUGACUCAAAUAGAGGUUCAUUUUGGAAGAAAUCCCCUGAUAUUGGAUGAUAAUGUAUCUAUUAGAUAGGGUGUUCAUGACUCCUCUUUUGUCAUCUAUACUACUAUUUAAUAACAGACCAGUUUAAUUGCCACAUGUCCUCUCUUUAAAUUUCCACAUUUUAUUUUAUUUUUUAGAAUAAAAAAUUUAUCUUAAAAUCUCUAUACUACGUAUCUGUUUUUUUUCCGGUUUUUUUCCCAGUUACUCUUACAAACAUCAAACGUGUCUUAUGAAUUGUGUCUUUUGAUAUUCUCCCCUUUUUAUCUCAAGCACUACAAUUGAAGGCCAUUUUAGUGAAACGUACUCUCUUGAGUCUUCCUGUUGCAUUCUUUUCCCCCUUUUUAUUUCUCCGUUAAUACUUCUUUUUAUUUUCUACGUCAAUCAAUUUUGUAUUUUAGGGAAGAAUCUCGUGAUUCUUCACAAGUAGUUUUAUAUUGCCUUAAAUACUUCUACAAUUGCAUUACCUCAUGAUACAAAUAUCUUGAUAUAAUUUCUGAUUUUAUGUUCUUUUUCCAACUGAUUUGUGAGCGGCGAUUGUUUUUGUUGGUUUGAUUUAGUUGUCAUUAAUGAAUUCAGAGUUUAUAAUAGAAGAAUUUUGGACAAGAAGUGUACUAUAUAUGGAGUACAUGAUAUCGAAUUCAAAGGUAUAUAGCCUCUAUUUUUCUUUGCAGUUACUUCAUUGAUGUAUUGUAUAACGGACGGUUUUUCAAUGGCUACCAUCUCAACCGUUUAAUUUUAUGAACUUAAUCUUAUCCGUUUAAUUGUUUGACCACCAUUUUUCAAAAAUGUAAAAGAAACUAAAUUAUUUUACAAAAAACGGUUUAUAAUUUAUCAAAUAAAAAAAACAGUUUUAUAGUUUUACAUCAAAGCAAAACAUAAUUAUCAUUGUCGUCAUCUGUCACCCAAGUUACAAUCAGUAGCGAAUUAGAUUAUGAUCAACAUUAAGAACCUGGCAAAAUAAGAAGUAUUGGUUAUCCCACUUAAAAACUGCAAAGUAACAUCUAAUAACAGUUGCACAACCCUUGAAAUCAUUUUUUGAGUUUCAUAUUUUUUUUAGGGAUUUUUUGAGUUUUAUAUAAUUAUAUUGAAUUCCUUUCCAUGGUGUUCCGAUUUAUUGUGAAUGAAUAUCAUGGUGUUCUUCUAUUCAUGAGUAGUCAGCAGAGUAUGCAAUUACAUUAAAAAAAGAAAUUUGCACAAGUUAAUACUUGUAUAAAAAUAAAUGCAUAGAUCGGUUAAGUUAUUCAUUGUUAAUUUAUAUUUUUAUUUACCCUAAAAGAAAAGUUAUAUUUUUAUUAAUUAGUCUAUUUUUAUAAAGAAAAAUAAAUUAUUUUAAAAGUCAAGUCAACAGAAAAUGAAUGGUGUAGAUUUAAUAAUUUAAAUAAAAAGUCAAGAUUAAAAGUUUAUAAUGGCUGCAAAAUUGAUGUAGCUAUUGUAAAAUUGUCCAUUGUAUACAUGCUGUUUUGUUCUGAUAAAUGAUAAAUCUAUUCAACUACAAUCAAACAAAUAUGGAUAAACCCUUUCCAGGUCUCAAUUUUCUAAAAUAUUACACAUAAAUAAAGUUGUUUUGUAUCGGCUAAUUAUUUCAACCAAACCAUUCCAAUCAAUUCAUUGAAUUCAUUUCAAAGUUAUGUGUAAUUUGAAAGGAACUUUUCGUUGUAGAGAUUUUUAAAUUUAAUUAAGAUUUUAAUGAGUCUAUAUCAGAUAUGAAGGCACAAUGUCCAUGGCAUGAGUAUUUGAGGAGCACAAAAAAAAGGCUCGAUGCUGAAUUGUUGAUCAUAUAACUUGAAAUUGGAAAUCCUAUUGUAGCAAAGGGUCAAAAGAAAAUUUUGGGAAUAACUUGAAAACAUGGAAUCACAAACAUCAUUGUACAUUUAAAAAAAAUAUAUAAAAUAUGAUUACAAAUGGUCCUGCGGAGUUUUAAGGGGGAAAAAAACCGUGCAUUGCACGGGCAAAAAAACUAGUUGUUUUCCAUUGUUGUACUGUUACUAAACUCUUCAUGAAGGACAAAACUGUAACGCCAUCUGGAAUUUAGCUAUUGGUCCUCCUUAAUGUAGUUCAAAAAAUUAUAACAGUAGAGUUUUUUUUUGUUUGCCUAUGAAGGUGCCUUCUAGGGAGAUUGAGUGGUUAGAAAAAUUGAGAUCGGAGCUCCUAGGAUAAGGAGGGGUGUCGGGUUCUUCCUGUUUGUUUAGGUGGUUUUCAACAUUGUAUGACUUUGGAGCUAUUAAAUUUCUUGCUUACUGAUCAAAAAAGGAGUGUGCUGAAGAAGAUUUUGUCACAAUGGCUAUACCAACUUCUUCUUUCGCAAACAGAUUGAAUGCAUAUCAAUUAAAGGACUAGUGUUUGAGCUUAUCUUUUGAAUUUCAUUCCACAUUCUAUGUUGAUGAAUCAGAAGUUAUAGCAGAGGUCUGUUGGAAUAUGUGAUUUACUGAUUUCGACAUUGAAAAUGGCGUUCUGACUUGAGUAAGGAGUUGUUCUUCUUUAGUUAAGGAUCAAGUUGUUAUAUUAUUUGUUCCUCAAUUCAUUUUGUGUUCUUCCUUAGUGUCGAGUUCCUUUCUGUAGAUUAAACAUUUCUGUUUUCAUCCAAACACCAAGAAAGGUCAAUGCCUAUGGAUUUUGAAUAAGUUUAUGAUCCGAUCCACAUGAUUCAUAUGUAUUGGUUGAUACUGCUUCAACUCCUUCAAGGGUGACAACAAAUCUACACAUCAUGGGAAAAUCGAUGCCUAUGCUGCAAUGUUACAUUUUACAGUCUUUUAAACUCAUUGUAUUGUUGGUCGUGUUGCUAAUAACAGAUAGACAUUAAUAUGUAACAAUUUACUCUAUCAAGGUUCGUUGAUUCUGAUUAUAUUCCAGCAAUGAAGCAUGCAUAUUUUGCCUCAUAUAAUAUCAAGCGAACCAAUGGGCUUGACAAUAUCUUCAUCUUUCUUGCGUUCUGAAUGCCAAUUCAUCUUGCAGCCUUAAAUUCCACUGGAUUAAGGGCAUUGUUUGCUAAAAUAUUUCUUUUUGUAUUUAAAAAAUUGUGUAUGUACUCUCCUUUUUGUUUGAAGCUUGCAUUGAAUUUUUGAGGUCUUUUCUCACACAUUAUUACGAAUUUCAUGAAGAUUUUUCAAGACUACAGGAGAUAUCGUAGAAGUAAUAUUUGCUCAGAUCCUGAUGGUUGCAGCUUGCGUAGGGGCAUGUGGUGAUAGUUAUCCUGUCAUCAUGGUAGUAGAGAAUGUGGCUGAGGCAACAUACCGAUGUACAUAAGAGAGUCUGUGUUCUGUCAACUUGAACUUGUGAUUGGAGUUUGGAGAAUGUGAUGUUACAUUAGUUUUAUUUAGUUUAUUGCUUUGGAAAACAAGAAGUUGCUACAUUGGACAGUUUGGAGAAUUUUUAUGCAUAUAUAAGAGUUGAUGGAUUAUUAAUUUAUUAUUA